rnacentral:tRNA from 2 species
CGGGGCGUGGCGCAGCUUGGUAGCGCGCCUGCUUUGGGAGCAGGAUGCCGCAGGUUCAAAUCCUGUCGCCCCGACCA